rnacentral:rRNA from 1 species
CCAAGGCUAAAUACUCCUGACUGACCGAUAGUGAACCAGUACCGUGAGGGAAAGGCGAAAAGAACCCCGGCGAGGGGAGUGAAAAAGAACCUGAAACCGUGUACGUACAAGCAGUGGGAGCACCCUUCGGGGUGUGACUGCGUACCUUUUGUAUAAUGGGUCAGCGACUUAUAUUCUGUAGCAAGGUUAACCGAAUAGGGGAGCCGGAGGGAAACCGAGUCUUAACCGGGCGUUAAGUUGCAGGGUAUAGACCCGAAACCCGGUGAUCUAGCCAUGGGCAGGUUGAAGGUUGGGUAACACUAACUGGAGGACCGAACCGACUAAUGUUGAAAAA